UACUCCGGAGAGUGGCAAUCAC
rnacentral:miRNA from 1 species